CCCCCCGCCUCCGUGCCUGCUUUCCGCCCCUCUGCCCCCGCCUCCGGCAGCGGGAGUCGCGCGCGGGCCCGCGGUCACCAUGUCCUGACUGAGGGGAGAGGGCGGAGGCGGCAGCAGCGGGGCGGGCGGCAGCGCGGAGGGAGGCGGAGAGGGGCCGGGCUCGGCUCGUCGCCGCGGGCUGCUCGGGGAGUCGCUGCCGCCGCCGCUGCAGCCGGGCGCCGAGCGUCGGACGGGGAGGAGGAGCAGGAGCUGGAGGAAGAGCCACCGCCGCCGCCAGGAAUAGCUAUUCACAGUCAUACAGAACCACUUAUCACGUUUUGCAGUAUCUCCAGAGGAAGUCAGAAUCUGAGCCACCAUGACGACUGAAUCUUGUCUUUGGUCUGAUUUAUAAGCUGUACUUUUAUUCUGACCAUGUGCAAGGUGGAGGCUAUAGCAUGGAAACUAAAAUCUUACUUCCUGCCUGACAUAACUCACUUCAAGAAGUGCACAAUGUCAGAACGUGGAAUUAAGUGGGCUUGUGAAUACUGUACGUAUGAAAACUGGCCAUCUGCAAUCAAGUGUACUAUGUGUCGUGCCCAAAGACCUAGUGGAACAAUAAUUACAGAAGAUCCAUUUAAAAGUGGUUCAAGUGAUGUCGGUAGAGAUUGGGAUCCUUCCGGCACCGAAGGAGGAAGUAGUCCUUUGAUAUGUCCAGACUCCAGUGCAAGACCAAGGGUUAAGUCUUCGUACAGCAUGGAAAAUGCGAAUAAAUGGUCAUGCCACAUGUGCACAUAUUUGAACUGGCCACGAGCAAUCAGAUGCACUCAGUGUUUAUCCCAGCGUAGGACCAGGAGUCCCACAGAAUCUCCUCAAUCCUCAGGAUCUGGCUCAAGACCAGUUGCUUUUUCUGUUGACCCUUGCGAGGAAUACAAUGAUAGAAAUAAACUGAACACAAGGACCCAGCAUUGGACUUGUUCUAUUUGCACAUAUGAAAACUGGGCCAAAGCUAAAAAAUGUGUUGUUUGCGAUCAUCCCAGGCCUAAUAAUAUUGAAGCAAUCGAGUUGGCAGAGACGGAAGAGGCUUCUUCAAUAAUAAAUGAGCAAGACAGAGCUCGAUGGAGAGGAAGCUGUAGCAGUGGCAACAGCCAAAGAAGAUCACCGCCGACUACGAAACGGGACUCUGAGAUGAAAAUGGAUUUUCAGAGGAUUGAGUUGGCUGGUGCUGUUGGCAGCAAGGAGGAACUUGAAGUGGACUUCAAAAAACUAAAGCAAAUUAAAAACAGGAUGAAAAAGACUGAUUGGCUAUUCCUCAAUGCUUGUGUGGGGCUCCUGAAAUUGUGCCAGCUGACUCCAAGUCCACCCUGACCCCACAGCAUAAACCAUGCUGUGAUGUCACAGCUACCAUAGAACUCCAGGGUAGUGUUGAGCUGGCCCAUGUGGGCUCAGGUGUCUCAACAAGCCGCAAAGUGUAUUCCAGCAAUGGUGUGUCCUGAACUGACAGAGCAAAUCCGGCGUGAGAUAGCUGCCUCUCUUCAUCAGAGAAAGGGGGAUUUUGCUUGCUAUUUCCUAACUGACCUUGUAACAUUUACGUUGCCAGCAGAUAUUGAAGACUUGCCUCCAACAGUCCAAGAAAAAUUAUUUGAUGAGGUGCUUGAUAGAGAUGUUCAAAAAGAGUUAGAAGAAGAAUCUCCAAUUAUAAACUGGUCCUUGGAAUUGGCUACACGUUUGGACAGUCGACUGUAUGCACUUUGGAACCGGACUGCAGGAGACUGCUUACUUGAUUCAGUACUACAAGCUACCUGGGGCAUUUAUGACAAGGACUCGGUGCUUCGGAAAGCCCUGCAUGACAGCCUACAUGACUGUUCACAUUGGUUUUAUACACGUUGGAAAGAUUGGGAGUCCUGGUAUUCUCAGAGCUUUGGUUUACAUUUUUCCUUGAGAGAAGAACAGUGGCAAGAAGACUGGGCAUUUAUACUCUCUCUUGCUAGUCAGCCUGGAGCAAGUUUGGAACAGACCCACAUUUUUGUACUUGCACAUAUUCUUAGACGACCAAUUAUAGUUUAUGGAGUAAAAUAUUAUAAAAGUUUCCGGGGAGAAACUUUGGGAUAUACUCGGUUUCAAGGUGUGUAUUUGCCUUUGUUGUGGGAACAGAGUUUUUGUUGGAAAAGUCCGAUUGCUCUGGGCUAUACAAGGGGCCACUUCUCUGCUUUGGUUGCCAUGGAAAAUGAUGGCUAUGGUAACCGAGGUGCUGGUGCUAACCUGAACACCGAUGACGAUGUCACCAUUACAUUUCUGCCUCUGGUUGACAGUGAAAGGAAGUUACUCCAUGUGCACUUCCUUUCUGCUCAGGAGCUAGGUAAUGAGGAACAGCAAGAAAAGCUGCUCAGGGAGUGGCUGGACUGCUGUGUGACUGAGGGAGGAGUUCUCGUGGCCAUGCAGAAGAGCUCUCGGCGGCGAAAUCACCCUCUGGUCACGCAAAUGGUAGAAAAAUGGCUUGACCGCUACCGACAGAUCCGGCCUUGUACAUCCCUGUCUGAUGGGGAGGAAGACGAAGAUGAUGAAGAUGAAUGAAAAUAAUCAAAGAGCAGAAGAGCAAGGUACCAGCUCUGUAGUGACCUCCACGCUGCUGCGGUGCUCCAGGCAGAGUGCACGGCAUGGAAUGAAGCAGAUCUGGCAGGAUCUGCUUGGAAGGGUUUUUCUGACCCACACCCAGUGGAGACGAUGCAUCUGCUGUGAGGAGACAGAACUUUGGACUACAGUUUGUAAAAAAUGAAUUUUAUUAAGACAGAACUUUUUUCCUUUCAAGUUGUAAAUCUGUCUAUAAAUGUAACGCAUGUGGUUGUGUAAGAAGUUGUGUAAUAGGCAAAGUUGUACCAGCAUCUUCAUAUUAUUGAGAAGUUUUUUCCAGCAUGGGCACCUCCAAAAGCACGUGGCAGAUCACUCUUUGUUCCUUUGAGAUAAUUCUUUUUUAAGUAGAACCUGGCAUUCUACUUGCAUCUUAAAAGAUCCGUUUUACAUUAUAUCUCACUAGAGCUCGUUAGAGAUUUGGAAACUUUUUGUACAAAUUACCCACAGCAAAACAUAAAAACAAGCUUUUAUUUUUAUUAAUAAUUUAGUUCCUGUUGUGCCCAAUAAAAUAAAAUAAAACCUUUAAGGAACAAACUGUAAGAAAAGUAAGGAUUUUUUAUUGAGUGAACUUUGCAUAGACAUCGUUCCCUUGUUUUGGAAAGGGUUUUGGUUUCUAUUAUUUUGUCUUUUUAAAAGUUUCUGAUGUGCCCCUUUUCAGUGUUUAGGUAUUUAUUUGUUUGGAAGAGUGCCCUUAAGAUGGGGCUUCUUCUACCAGACUCUGGGCAGCAGUCUCUUUGUGAAUAGUUAUUCGGUGGAUGUAAGUGAGGGGAGUGCUGGCCCACUCGUAUGUAACUGAAUGAACUGUGUGAAGUUCGCCCACUUGACUCUUGACAAUGUUAUACUCUCCCAGGUUGCCAUGCAUAGAGUCUGUGGAUUCUUAACUGUCUUUUAUCAUCAACUCUGCUUUAAGCAAAUUGUGUUAGAAAGGCAUGCCUUUGCUUGGGCUAAUUGGGAAUAUCAGUUCAGUAUAGAAUAAAGAUUUAAGAACGCAGUAAGGCGGUAAAUGCAUUGUAUAAUGAAUUUCUCAGUGAGUAGUCUGAGAAUUUUUGCAUGUUGGUUAAUUGUGGCCAUUCUUAUUUAAAGUUAAGACUAUAAUCUUAGGUAGGAAAACUUUCUACAAAAAGUAUUAUUUGACCACUUCAGGUAUACAUUCAAAACUGGGUAAAAAUUUCAGACCUAUCUCAGGAACACAAAAAGACUUAGUGUCCUGGUAAGCACUUUGUAGACUAUUGAUGUGGCAAGGAAUUUGGCAAGAAGCCCUACACACACACACACACACACACUUUUCCUUCCCUUUGAUGAAAAGGCUGUGAAAACCUUGAAAUAUUUACUUCUUGAUUUCUUCUAAGUUCUGUUUAGAUGCUAUUGAAAUGUGCACAACCUCAGAUUUGAUGCUGGAAUACUAAAAAUAGAAAAUUACCUAUAAGAUGUCAUCUCUCUAGUUCUUUCUUCCCUCUCUGAACACUCCUUGAAACGUGUUCCCAGGAUGAUCGCUUUUGCUGCAUGCUACAACUUGCAGGAAAAAUAUUUGCAAUUUGAUUCCAUAUGAAUGAAUUUUGAUGUAAUGUGUAUGUUACUGUUUCAAAUGGUUGUUUUCUUACAAAUUGACUCUAUGGUUUGCUUUCAUUUUGGACAGAAUUAAUUAAGUUUUUAGAAGGCUGCCAUUCUAAUUACAUAGCACAGCAUCCCUAUAAACUUUUCUCCAUAUAUAGGGAGAGAAUUCUUUAGUGGCCAGACAUCCUGUUCUAGUUGCUGUUAAGCAAAAACUGCUCUCCCAGUUGAAGAAUCCGAAGAGAAAUGUUUGAGGGAAAAGCAUCUAGUUGCUACGGUCUACAUUACAGUCAGUGCUGUUUAGAAAACUGCAGGCUCAGUCUUUAGCCUUAGCCUCCGUGUGUUGUGUUUGCUGCGUGGUGUGUCCCCUGAGGUGCCUCUUUAUUUAUUUAUUUAUAGAUCAGUGACCCUGACCACAUCUAGUUUAACAGGUACAGCAUUCUUCCCUGUGGGAAAGAAUUAUAUAUAUAUAUAUGACUCCAUUUCUUAGGCUCCAGACAGGGAUGGGGCUUUAAAUGGUUUUCACAGCAGAUUGGCUGGUAAAGGCCAACAUUUUGGUGAAUCAAUGCUGUGUUAAGCUCUUGAACUAUCAAACAGCCAUAACUGUUGUCCCAAGAUAGAGUUUGCAGUCCUUUCUCAGAUUAUAUAUGGCAGGGUGACAGAUACUGUAUGUCUUUUGGUUGACUCCGGACAGUAAUACCUUUAACUGUAUGGACUUUAUGGUUCUUUUUCUAGGGAGAAUACAGUGUGGUGUUUUCUGUCAAAACCCAAGUACACCAUGGAUUUGGACCUUUUUAUGUUUUUGGUUUUUAGGCUCAUCGUGUCACAGACUUAGUCUGUGUUAAGGGACUAUUGCUGUGCAUAGUCGGUUGGGGUCUCCUUUUUGUGCAUACGUCACCCCCUCACUGAUUGCCUGUUUGACAAGUGGUCGUGAAGAUGAUCUUGAGCUGCCACUUUGCUCCCCGGAGUGAUAGGUCAGUAACCAUUUGCUGUAUCUCUGUCCAGGAUCUCUCUCCGUGUCGGGUGGUUUCAGUGUAAUUUCCAUGGGAGAGUUGGGGUGGGGCCCCCACCUUAAAAUGAGUGAGGAGGGUGAUGCUUUAAGCUGCCAUGACUUCUUUUAAAUGGGAAAGGGUGGGGGGAGGCGGCUGAAAAGGAGUUCGGUACCUGGAAUUGUUGGACGUGACUGACAUUUGCAGAUACCGCUAAGUAGUAAGGGGUUUAAUGCUAUUUGAGGAGGAAGACCCAUAAAAUCAACGGAAAGUUCCUAACCUGUGGAAAUGGCUGAUGUUAAUUAUUUUGCAACAUUUCUUUGUAAAUAUCAUUAAAAAAAAUUUUUUUUGAGAUUCACCUCCCUUCCUGCAUUAAUGCUUGAGCCAGAUAAUUUUGCUUUUGGGUAAAUUAAAAUCAAAAUUCUAAAACUUGA